rnacentral:rRNA from 1 species
UACGAAGGGGGCUAGCGUUGUCCGGAAUCACUGGGCGUAAAGCGCACGUAGGCGGAUCUUUAAGUCAGGGGUGAAAUCCCGAGGCUCAACCUCGGAACUGCCUUUGAUACUGGGGAUCUCGAGUCCGGGAGAGGUGAGUGGAACUGCGAGUGUAGAGGUGAAAUUCGUAGAUAUUCGCAAGAACACCAGUGGCGAAGGCGGCUCACUGGCCCGGAACUGACGCUGAGGUGCGAAAGCGUGGGGAGCAAACAGG